rnacentral:rRNA from 1 species
CCUACGGGGAGCAGCAGUGGGGGAUAUUGCACAAUGGGGGGAACCCUGAUGCAGCGACGCCGCGUGGGUGAAGAAGCGCCUCGGCGCGUAAAGCCCUGUCAGCAGGGAAGAAAAUGACGGUACCUGAAGAAGAAGCCCCGGCUAACUACGUGCCAGCAGCCGCGGGAAUACGUAGGGGGCAAGCGUUAUCCGGAUUUACUGGGUGUAAAGGGGGCGCAGACGGCGAUGCAAGCCAGGAGUGAAAGCCCGGGGCCCAACCCCGGGACUGCUCUUGGGACUGCGUGGCUGGAGUGCAGGAGGGGCAGGCGGAAUUCCUGGUGUAGCGGUGAAAUGCGUAGAUAUCAGGAGGAACACCGGGGGCGAAGGCGGCCUGCUGGACUGCAACUGACGUUGAGGCCCGAAAGUGUGGGUAUCAAACAGGAUUAGAUACCCGGGUAGUC